GACGUAGGGGCCGAGCGUUGUCCGGAGUUACUGGGCGUAAAGCGCGCGCAGGCGGAUGGUCGCAUCGUCGGUGAAAGCCCCCCGCUCAACGGGGGAGGGUCCGGCGAGAUGGGCCAUCUGGAGGCAGGGAGAGGCGAGUGGAAUUCCGGGUGUAGUGGUGAAAUGCGUAGAGAUCCGGAGGAACACCAGUGGCGAAGGCGGCUCGCUGGACCUGACCUGACGCUGAGGCGCGAAGGCGUGGGGAGCGAACGGGAUUAGAAACCCCCGUAGUCC
rnacentral:rRNA from 1 species